CAGGAGGGAGGUACAAUAAUAGUUUCUAAUUUAUAGAUAAGGAAAUUGAGGUUCAGAAAGAUUAAGCCGUUUGUCAAGGUCACACAACUAGUAGGUAACAGAGCAAAUAAUUAUGGAUCAAAAGCUCUUUUUACCGAGGCAGGUAGAAGAUGAGGUAGCUGGUGAAGCUUUGAGCCCCUCAGCCGGUGGGGAAACUGAGUCCUUUGGGUACCAAGGGGACUUUCCCAGGCUUCUUGAGUUAGUCAAAGAGAUUGCUGGGGACAAAACCUAUGUGUUCCAGCCCUAACCACUAGACCACACGGCCUCUCCAUGGCUUGAGCUGGGAAGGUCCAAAGAGAAACUCCCUUUCCAGCCCCAGCCUGGAGUGUAGACUCUUCCCCUGCUAACAGGCUGGCCCUGUGGAGGCCGGGCUGGGCCAGGGUGCCGUGGGGGAUGCUGGGGGGUUUCUGCCCACACAUAUGGUUUCCAGAUUCCAGGGGAUGAAAAGGAGGCCCUUAGGGGCGGAAAUGGGGGAUGUGCGAUGACAAAUUUAGACUGAUUGCGUUAAAAAAAAACGCCGAGAAACCCUAAAAAAUAAAAGCAAAAAUUCCGCUAGAAAACCAAAGGGAAUUAUUUGAUUGUGAAACUGAGGGCGGUGAGGCGCAGCACGGUUUAAUGUAGAACAGUAUCAAGGGUUCUUCGGACUUCAACUGCUCAGAGGAUGGAGGGAGAUGGGGAGGUUCUGUCUGCUGUUCCUGGCUUCACCCGCUGGGCUUUGGGACAGGGAUGGAGUUGGGCAGGGCACCUGGGCGGAUGUCUGGUGUCAGGAGCACUUGGUGGUGGUGGGGGCUCUCCUGAAAGGCUUGGGCCCUCCAGAUAGCUAGACUCCAAGGGUCCUGCUGGCUUGUGGCCGAGGGUCCCCACUGGCUCACAUAGGGAGCUGCCCCAGGGGAGGCCCCAGUGGGUCUGUACCUGAGAGCAUGUGAAAGGAUGAGCUAUAAGGUAGGGGUUUGGGGUGUCUCCUAGUCCCAGGCUUAAAGGGAAAUGGCCAGGAACAGAAGGUAAAAGAGAGGACAGCUGCCUGGAAUUCUGGCCUGUAGCAGGCCUAAGGGGUCAAAGGUCAAGGGGAGGACAAGGGGGACUUCCUAAGGUUCCCAGGGGACUGCCAGCCAAACAGGCAGCCAGCAAGCCAGGCUGUUGUGCAAGUUCUGGGCUGGACCAUGAGGGCAGGCUGGCAGAAGAGCCACGCCUGGCCCAGCCCCCGCCCGGCCUAUCCGAUCCAUGCUCUGGAGCUGGAGUAGUGCCCACUCGCCCACUCUCCUCCAGGAAAGCAGGACUCCGCCCCCCCCCAAGGUAACACUCCUGUCCCUCUGCGGCCAUAUUCUAUAUGCCUGAGGGCUUCCUCUCUCAUACCCAUCCUGAGCCUCUCUUCCCCAGAAUCGUGGUCUUUUGAGAAACCAGAAAAACCUUCUCAAUUAAGCCUCUUUCUUCUGACUCCACUCUGAUUCCCCGAGAGAUGAGAGGGGUUUUUGAGGGCAGAGCCACGACAGGGGUCAUGGGGUCCCAGAGGAAUGAGGCUCAGAGAAAGUGGAAGAGAAGCAAGCCGACAGGAAGUGCUCAGCGGGCAGGCCCUGGGCUGAUUUUGUAGAUGCGCUGCCCUCUCUCCUUGAAGCUUCACUUGGGUCUCUCAAGGUCUGUUCUAUUUAUUCACAUUUUAUAGGUGAAGAAGUUGAGGUUCUGAGGAUGUGAUUAAACAGACAGCUGAUACACGGCAGAGCAGAGAGUUGCACUUGCUCUUUCCAGAUCACCUCCCUGUCCCUCAGCUCGACCCACUUUGGCUGGAGAUGGAGAGGGAGCACAAGGAAGGCCUAGGACAGCGUUUGGUUCCCAGUGGUCAUGGGAUCACUGCUGACUGAUGCUGAAUCUCGUGGAGAAGGGACUGGAUCCUGGAUGGAGCUUUGUGUCAGCUACCAAGUUCUCCUCUUACAUUCAGCAUCUGUAAAAUCAGGAGGUGGAGGAGAAAGCUGAGGGCUCCAGCUGCCCAAGAACUAGAACUAUCUAGCAUCUUCUUUCUCUCCUACUGCCCACCCGAGGCCUGCCUCUCACCACUGUUCAUCCUCAACCUGCUGCAGGGCCCAGCCUGGCUCCAUGUAAGCAAAGCUGCCAGCAGGGUCCUUUGUGGUGCUGCUCCCGUGUGGCACUGCCUAGGGGCCCCACCAUGGGGCAACAGAUGGACCUAUGGUCUCUACAGAACAAUAGUGGGGGAGGGGCCCUGGCAUCGCCCGCCCCAAACAGGAAGCGCUGCAUGAGCUUCAAAGAACUGGCAGGGCCAAGGGGCUGAGUGGCUGGAGCCAGUGCCAGGACCGGCGGCUGCCUGAAGAGAUGCCUGCCAGCCUCAGGAUGCCCAGCCUGCAGUGGGGGUGGGGCUGCAGUGGCCAGGGCAGCUGGGUCUCCGGCAGAGGAGGCUUUGCACCCUCAGUGAAGCAGCCACUGACCUGAGACAGGCUGAGGGAAGGGGGCUCAGACACCAGGCUGUUUCCUGGACCUGCUGCCACUAGCUAGCGGGGCUGCAGGUUCUUUCCCAGGCCACAGUGGGUCUGGCCCUCCAGCAAG
rnacentral:lncRNA from 1 species